GACGAACGCUGGCGGCGUGCUUAACACAUGCAAGUCGAACGGAAAGGCCCUGCUUUUGUGGGGUGCUCGAGUGGCGAACGGGUGAGUAACACGUGAGUAACCUGCCCUUGACUUUGGGAUAACUUCAGGAAACUGGGGCUAAUACCGGAUAGGAGCUCCUGCUGCAUGGUGGGGGUUGGAAAGUUUCGGCGGUUGGGGAUGGACUCGCGGCUUAUCAGCUUGUUGGGGGGGUAGUGGCUUACCAAGGCUUUGACGGGUAGCCGGCCUGGGAGGGUGAACGGCCACAUUGGGACUGAGAUACGGCCCAGACGCCUACGGGAGGCAGCAGUGGGGAAUAUUGCACAAUGGGCGGAAGCCUGAUGCAGCAACGCCGCGUGCGGGAUGACGGCCUUCGGGUUGUAAACCGCUUUCGCCUGUGACGAAGCGUGAGUGACGGUAAUGGGUAAAGAAGCACCGGCUAACUACGUG
rnacentral:rRNA from 1 species